rnacentral:lncRNA from 1 species
UCUCACUGUUCCAGUAGGUAAGAAAACCUAACUUGGGUUACCUGUGUUCUUUGCUCAAAAGACGGAUAUAGAAGUGUUCGCUGAAGCUGCAGUCUUUUCUAAGGUUUGGGUUCCUCGAGCUCACUCGAGUGGUCGGCAGAACUCAUUAAUUGUGGUUGCAGCUUGAGGUCUUUAUUGUUUUCUGAUUGUCUUCUGGGGGUUACUCACAGGCCCCAGAGGCCACCCUUAGAUCGUAGCUACUUGGCUCUCUCACAACAUGACAGUUUACUUUUUCAAAGACAGCAGAAGAGUGUCUCUGCUAUCCAGUGUAAUAAACAGGAGUCUUUGUGGCAUUAUCAUGGGGGUGACUAUAUCAUCAUUUUUGCCAUAUGAAGGGACGAUCAAGGGAGGUGCUAUCAUAUUAUAUUAACAGCUUCCCCCAUAUUCAAAAAGAGGAAAUUUAACACGUACAAGGCUCUUGUGGAACAAUGAGAAAUCAGAGAAAGAACAAGAGGUCAUCUGCAGCCAAACCUGGUCAGAAGGAUUAUAGAACAUUUUAUCUUUCUUUUGUUCCCUCAAUCCUAUUGUCAUCAUUCAAUUAGAAGUAUUAUUUUGAAUAGCUUUAAUAGAA